UAGAGGGGCCGCAGCUGCGAGCGACUGCUCAAGAAAACUGGUCUGGAGCGCCCUCGGCGGGCGCGGCGGUCUCACCCGGCCCGGCCCCUCAGACUUCUGCAGCUGCGGCGGCCCCCGGAGUGGGUCUACCCCGGGGCCUCAGGGGCAGUUCUCGGCCCACCCCGCGGGGAACCAGUAGGGAAACCGAGGCCCUCCCAAGCACGGAGUAAGGGCGGCCCUCUCCAAUUCGGCAGCCGGAUGCCAGCCAGGACUGUACUGUGUCCUUGGCCUGGGAAUUCCCCGGGCACCCGGCCCGCAGACCGAUGCCCCCAGUUCUGAGGACGUAUAGGUGUAGCUGCUCUAGAUCUACUUUUAUCGAUUCCCAGAGGUCUCGACACUCCACCCAGGUUGCGGCCCGCCUUCCUGGAGCCAGUAAUCCAUCCAACUGAAUACCUGCCAGACCCUUUGCUACGUGCUGGAGAUGCAGUGAGAGCAAAUUCAGAGCGCUGCUCUAAUGAACUUUACAGUCGUGAAUACUUAAUUGCUCAAGGGUAACUUUUCAAAGUUGACAACUUUUAAUAAAGGCCCUGAGUGCUAGGACCAUGAAUAAGCAAGAGACCUGAUCCAGACUUGGAGGUCAGGGAAAUGAUGCUGGAGAGCAGAGAGAUGAACAAGAGUUAAUUACAUGAAAAAGAGUAGGGCACUGCAAGAGAGCCUGGCCUGGUGAGAGAACUGCAAGAUCUGUAUGACAGAUCCUAAAGAGGGGGACAGUGGGGGAGAUGAGGCUGCAAAGAUCACCAAAACAGUAGGUCAUGGAAGGAGUUGUGGUCUGGACCCUAAAAGGAAUGGGGAGCCACUGAAGGAUUUUAACCAGGUGUAUCCAAAAGAUGUUGGGAGGAGCCAAACUGGAUGUGUCAAGAGGAGAUGAGCAGGACUCCUGGAGAAAUGACAGUCCCUUGCUGCUGCGUUUAAUUGGAGAGGAUCUCAGAGACCCGAGAUUAUAAUUAUGACACGUUAAAUGCCGAGCUCUUCAAAAGUCUGCCCUUGCCCUCGCUGUCACCCUGAACAGCUCUGAGAACCCAAACCCUGCAGCCCCCAGAGUGUGCCCUGGGUCUCUCAGCCAGGCCUCACCUGGGAAAUCUGAGUGAUGGUGACGUGCAGGCAGCAGGAAGACACACAGUAAACCUAGGAGCCUGUGAUGAGCUCAGGAGAGUUUAAGGCCCCCUUGGAAACCACAUGUUGGAGAUGGCAGAGCCACAAGGUGGAAGGAUCCCGGUCCCUAAAUCAUCACUUGGAGGACACACACCACUGAUCAGGAACACCCACAAUCACGAAGAAUGAC